rnacentral:rRNA from 1 species
GAGUUUGAUCAUGGCUCAGAACGAACGCUGGCGGCAGGCCUAAUACAUGCAAGUCGAGCGCGCCCUUCGGGGUGAGCGGCGGACGGGUGAGUAACGCGUGGGAAUAUGCCCUUCUCUAAGGAAUAGCCUCUGGAAACGGAGAGUAAUACCUUAUACGCCCUUCGGGGGAAAGAUUUAUCGGAGAGGGAUUAGCCCGCGUUAGAUUAGGUAGUUGGUGGGGUAAUGGCCUACCAAGCCUACGAUCUAUAGCUGGUUUGAGAGGAUGAUCAGCCACACUGGGACUGAGACACGGCCCAGACUCCUACGGGAGGCAGCAGUAGGGAAUCUUAGACAAUGGGGGAAACCCUGAUCUAGCCAUGCCGCGUGUGUGAUGAAGGCCCUAGGGUCGUAAAGCACUUUCGCCAGAGAUGAUAAUGACAGUAUCUGGUAAAGAAACCCCGGCUAACUCCGUGCCAGCAGCCGCGGUAAUACGGAGGGGGUUAGCGUUGUUCGGAAUUACUGGGCGUAAAGCGCACGUAGGCGGAUUAGUAAGUUAGAGGUGAAAUCCCAGGGCUCAACCCUGGAACUGCCUUUAAUACUGCUAGUCUUGAGUUCGAGAGAGGUAAGUGGAAUUCCGAGUGUAGAGGUGAAAUUCGUAGAUAUU